GGCCGGUUAGCUCAGUCAGUUGAGCGUGGCACUGACAACACCGAGGUCGUGGGUUUGAUUCCCGCUCGGUCC
rnacentral:tRNA from 1 species